rnacentral:lncRNA from 1 species
CCGGGAGCACUGCUUGGGCUCACGGUGGGACCUUCCGGUGCUGGUGGAGAGGCGGUGGGAACAUCAGCAGGAGAAGGAGCAACUGACGGUGGAGUAGUGGCAGGAGCUGGGGUUGCAGCAGGUGGUGGCGUGGCUGGGGCAGGGGUUGCAGCAGGUGGUGGGGUAGCCACUGGAGGAGGAGUUGCGACUGGAGGGGGAGUUGCGGGAGGAGGAGUGGCGGUGGGAGUAGGAGCAGGGGCUUGAGCGAGUGCUGAAGUGGCGAAUAGAGCCAACAUCAAGAAAACUUGGACAAUCUUG